GGCUUACUUACAUAAAAAUUCGUCAAACUACUUGUAAAAUUGAUCAUACAACACUCAUUACAAUUCCCCAAUCACUGCUUAUCCUCUAACUUGUGAUACAAAAAACAACUACAAUAACAUAUAGUUAUGACAAUUAUAUCAAACAUAUAAUUUAACUACAAAACUUUAAAACAACAAUAUCUUUUAAAAAGAGCAAUAAUAUCAAACUUAACUUUGAAAAACUUAAGACAUAUAAAAAUUUUCGAUAUUCUAACAGAAUACAUCAUUAAAAAUAUAUACCAUCAAAACUUCAAAUAACAUUAAAAACUCUCUUCACGAUGAAAUUAUGAUUUCAACACUGCAUUCUUCUAUCCUUUUCAUUUUUCUCGAUCUCCUCUGCAAAUCAAUAAUACCAGCAAAAUCAUCGUUAAAAAACAAAAAUAACUCUAAAGAAAAAUUUCUUUAUAUAUAACGGAAAAACUAUUAAUAUGAAAUCAUUUUUUUUAUAAAAAAUAGAAAAAAAUUAAUAUGAAAUCAUUUUACCUAUGAAUCUUUUACGUAUUAAAACCAUGGUCUCAGUCAUCAUCUACUUGGAAUGUGUUACCAUUUCGAAUCGGAGUUGAAGAGCCAGGGAGUAAACAAAGAAAAUAAUAAUUAUUCACCAAAAAUCUUCUUUCUUGGCCAAUAAAUUUUAGAAGAGCCUGAAAUGGU
rnacentral:lncRNA from 1 species